AGUGAACGCUGGCGGUAGGCCUAACACAUGCAAGUCGAACGGCAGCACAGUAAGAGCUUGCUCUUACGGGUGGCGAGUGGCGGACGGGUGAGGAAUACAUCGGAAUCUACUUUUUCGUGGGGGAUAACGUAGGGAAACUUACGCUAAUACCGCAUACGACCUACGGGUGAAAGCAGGGGAUCUUCGGACCUUGCGCGAUUGAAUGAGCCGAUGUCGGAUUAGCUAGUUGGCGGGGUAAAGGCCCACCAAGGCGACGAUCCGUAGCUGGUCUGAGAGGAUGAUCAGCCACACUGGAACUGAGACACGGUCCAGACGCCUACGGGAGGCAGCAGUGGGUAAUAUUGGACAAUGGACGCAAGCCUAAUCCAGCCAUACCGCGUGGGUGAAGAAGGCCUUCGGCUUGUAAAGCCCUUUUGUUGGGAAAGAAAAGCAGCAGGUUAAUACCCCGCUGUUCUGACGGUACCCAAAGAAUAAGCACCGGCUAACUUCGUG
rnacentral:rRNA from 1 species